rnacentral:rRNA from 1 species
AUGGUGCAGAAAAAUAACAACUUCAAAUGGGAGUUGCUUGUCGUAUAUGGUCCCGCGGAUCAUGCUAGAUCACUAGAUUUUUUGAGGGAAUUGUGUAGAAAAAUUACGUCUUCACCAAAUCUGAUGGUUAUUGGAGGGGAUUUCAAUCUUAUUAGAUCAACCGAAGAUAAGAGUAAUCAUAGCAUUAACAACCCAGGCUUGGUCGAAAAUUUCAAUGAUUGGGUGGCGGACCUCCAACUUCUCGAGCUUCAACGUGGGGGAGCUCAUUUCACUUGGACGAAUAACCAGGACAACCCUGUGUGGUGUGUCUUAGAUCGGGUUUUGUAUCCACGGAGUGUGAAGCCAAGUUUCCCGCGUGCUCUCUCAUGGCCGAGAUGCAUCUUGGAUCGGACCACUGCCCCCUCAUCUUGCAAUAUGGGGAAGAAAUUCGUCGACCACCAAGGAGAUUCUUCUUUGAACGUCAGUGGUUAUUGCAACCGGUGUUUGCUGAGAGGAUGGUGUCAAUUUGGGUGGCAGCAAGGGCAAAUCGCCCGCAUAGACAUGGCCCUCUUUGUGAUGCGCUGGACGAAUGGCAGCACUGCAUCCGGAGAUCGCGUCAUCACUUGA